rnacentral:rRNA from 1 species
GAUGAACGCUGGCGGCGUGCCUAAUACAUGCAAGUCGAGCGAACGGACGAGAAGCUUGCUUUUCUGAUGUUAGCGGCGGACGGGUGAGUAACACGUGGAUAACCUACCUAUAAGACUGGGAUAACUUCGGGAAACCGGAGCUAAUCCCGGAUAAUAUUUUGAACCGCAUGGUUCAAAAGUGAAAGACGGUCUUGCUGUCACUUAUAGAUGGAUCCGCGCUGCAUUAGCUAGUUGGUAAGGUAACGGCUUACCAAGGCAACGAUGCAUAGCCGACCUGAGAGGGUGAUCGGCCACACUGGAACUGAGACACGGUCCAGACUCCUACGGGAGGCAGCAGUAGGGAAUCUGCCGCAAUGGGCGAAAGCCUGACGGAGCAACGCCGCGUGAGUGAUGAAGGUCUUCGGAUCGUAAAACUCUGUUAUUAGGGAAGAACAUAUGUGUAAGUAACUGUGCACAUCUUGACGGUACCUAAUCAGAAAGCAACGGCUAACUACGUG